UGUCAGCAUCAAGGCGUGAGACCAUGCCCCUCAAUAUCUCCACCAAUACAAGAGCCAGCAUCUUAUGGGGGCACAGGAACCAUUGCCAACAGCACCGACUACACAGAGAACCCCAAGAGCCAGGACCAGGACCUGGAAGGUGCUCAC
rnacentral:lncRNA from 1 species